CCCUUAGAUGUUCUGGGCGGCCCGCGCACUGCAUUGGCACUCUCAAUAAGUUCCUAGAUCUAAAACUUUGGGGUAUUCUAUUAAGUGGUGUCGUGACUGGGAUUAACCCUUGCAAUUAUUGGUUACGAACGAGGAAUUCCUUGUAAUCGCGGUUUAUCAGCCCGCGUUGAAUGCGUCCCUGCCCUUUGUACACACCGCCCGUCGCUCCUACCGAUGAAUCGUCCGGUGAAGUUCAUGGAGUGGUGGUUGUUCCAGCUGCUGUCGAAGUGAAAUGGACCUCACGAUUUAGAGGAAGGAGAAGUCGUAACA
rnacentral:rRNA from 1 species